AGAUCUGUGAUAAAACAAAACAUUAUUGGCUGUUUUUUAAAAAAGAGGAGGGGCUACACUAUAUCCCGCCCUCUCUUCGUGUUUCGGUUGAGAUUACAUCAAACAUUGAAUAAAAAUGCGCAUUUCAAAGCAUACACGUGACCUUUUAAACACCGACCUUAUACUGUUCCCACGGCUCUCAGCCCCGCCCACUCACUACAACGAAUAACUUUUUGUAAAUUUUUUGCUAAGACCAACAAAAAGUUUUCAGUUUUGUACUUUUUGUGUCAUGUAAACAGCCCUAAAAUGACUUUUAAUCAACUCAAUCAAAUGACUUGUGAUAUAAUUUUGCUUUUUUGUUUUGUUUUGUUUAGGUGAACUGCCACGGAUAAGCAUGCUCACCUGUUCUUUGGUUGUAGUUUCUCUCUGCUCUCUCGGCCUGAUUUUGGGCUCGUUGUUCUUCAGGAGAACCAGAAAAUCUGCUGCAUCUGAAUCUGAUGGAAGCUCCGGAGAAUCUUUUAUUCUUGAUGACUCAGAGAUAAUCUAAAGACACAACAAAUGGCCAUCAUCAAGUGAAUUAUCACACAGAUUGAGUGAAAUCAGAAAAAAAGGCAGAGCUCCAGAGUUGUUAAUAAGUACAAGCUGUUAAAAAAUGACACGAUUAAUAUUUCACAAUACACGGUUUAAUUUUAAAUGACAUUUUAUACUAGAAUAAUCGUGUUUGUAACUUACUUUUAAGAUAAGCAAGAUUUGCUAAGUCACUUUAAUGCUUUUUAAAGGGCUAGUUCACCCCAAAAGAACUCUAAAAUGUACUUUACCUCAAGUGGCUCCACACUUUAAAAGAUAUUUAAAAGAUACACUGUACGAAGCAAUUAGUUUGCUUUACUUGAAAAAAGUAAGUAAAUCUGUUGCUUUUCAAGCGAUUAGUUGACUUUACUUUAAUAAAG